rnacentral:rRNA from 1 species
UACGUAGGGUGCAAGCGUUGUCCGGAAUUAUUGGGCGUAAAGAGCUCGUAGGCGGUUUGUCGCGUCGGCUGUGAAAACCUGGGGCUCAACCCCGGGGCCUGCAGCCGAUACGGGCAAACUAGAAUUCGGUAGGGGAGACUGGAAUUCCUGGUGUAGCGGUGAAAUGCGCAGAUAUCAGGAGGAACACCGGUGGCGAAGGCGGGUCUCUGGGCCGAUACUGACGCUGAGGAGCGAAAGCGUGGGGAGCGAACAGG